rnacentral:rRNA from 2 species
UAACUUUUAACAACGGAUCUCUUGGCUCUCGCAUCGAUGAAGAACGCAGCGAAAUGCGAUAUGUAAUGUGAAUUGCAGAAUAGUGAAUCAUCGAAUCUUUGAACGCACCUUGCGCCUUUCGAGGCAUGCUGGUUUGAGCGCCUUA